GACGAACGCUGGCGGCGUGCUUAACACAUGCAAGUCGAACGGAAAGGCCCUGCUUUUGUGGGGUGCUCGAGUGGCGAACGGGUGAGUAACACGUGAGUAACCUGCCCUUGACUUUGGGAUAACUUCAGGAAACUGGGGCUAAUACCGGAUAGGAGCUCCUGCUGCAUGGUGGGGGUUGGAAAGUUUCGGCGGUUGGGGAUGGACUCGCGGCUUAUCAGCUUGUUGGUGGGGUAGUGGCUUACCAAGGCUUUGACGGGUAGCCGGCCUGAGAGGGUGACCGGCCACAUUGGGACUGAGAUACGGCCCUGACUCCUACGGGAGGCAGCAGUGGGGAAUAUUGCACAAUGGGCGGAAGCCUGAUGCAGCAACGCCGCGUGCGGGAUGACGGCCUUCGGGUUGUAAACCGCUUUCGCCUGUGACGAAGCGUGAGUGACGGUAAUGGGUAAAGAAGCACCAGCUAACUACGUG
rnacentral:rRNA from 1 species